UACGUAGGGUGCAAGCGUUGUCCGGAAUUAUUGGGCGUAAAGAGCUCGUAGGCGGUUUGUCGCGUCUGCUGUGAAAACUCGGGGCUUAACUCCGGGCCUGCAGUGGGUACGGGCAGACUAGAGUACGGUAGGGGAGACUGGAAUUCCUGGUGUAGCGGUGAAAUGCGCAGAUAUCAGGAGGAACACCGGUGGCGAAGGCGGGUCUCUGGGCCGUAACUGACGCUGAGGAGCGAAAGCGUGGGGAGCGAACAGG
rnacentral:rRNA from 1 species